GGAAGGAAUCGUGCAGCAGUUUAAAGUUUCUCUGUUUAUUCUGGUGUUUACAGGAUGUUCAAGUUAGUGAUACUGUUCCUGACACUGUCAGGCCUCCAAGCUGCCCCACUUGCAGUCCCAAGAAGUUUGCAGAAGACAUCUUCAACCUAUAAGCUCCCUGAUGGCUUUCACCAGGGCACUGAACACUCCGACAUCCAUGAACCUGUUCCUAGGGGCUUCCGACAAGGUACAGAGCCCUCCAGGAGGUUCCUUGUUGACCUCAACACAGGCCUGGUGCAGGAACACAUCAGUGAGAUGGACAGGAGAGUGGGUAAGUAUAUAUUCAAACCUAAUCAAGAAAUAACUACCUAAGCCAGUUUUACAUUUUUACAUUUCCACUUCUAGCUUCCAUCCGUCCUUCUCUGGAAGAGGGAUUUGGAGAGAUGGAGAGAAGACACUGGCUGACAGACGAG
rnacentral:lncRNA from 1 species